AGUAACUCAAGUCAAGUGGGACAGUGUAAAAGGUGGUUAGACAGUCUGCUUUGUAUUUUUGUUGAAAACAAACGUAAUUUUUGAAAAAAGAAGAUCGACCCGAGGAAAUAGGGGUGCAAUCUUAUGUAUUUCCUUGAGGGAAGGGGCACAUUCUUCUUUAGGCUGAGUCCACGGAACCGGUUAACUGAAGACAUGGAUUAGAUACCCAUUUAUUGCCGAUGUAAACUUUGCUUUUCAGCACGGCUGCUUGGGUACUACGAGCGAGUGCUUAAAACUCAAAGAACUUGGCGGCUUGUUAACUACCUAGGGGAAUAUGCGCCUUAAUCCGAUGAUCCCCGUUAUAUCUCACUGAGCCUUGAAAAAGUGCAGCUGGUGUAUUGCCGUUGUCAGCUUGUUGUUCGAGCAAAGAGAAACAGGCUUAAUGGAUCCUGGUGAUUACUUUCACGGGAAUCCAUGAAUUCAGGUCGUAAUACUGCCUAUGGCUCAAGGGAGCGGGUGUUACAAUUCAUAUUUGGAAUUACGGAUCCUCAUCGUGGAAUCUUGGGGUGAAGGUGAACUUAGGAGUAAGGAUAGAUUAAUAUGCUUUCCUGAACAUGAAUCUAACUCGUGUACAAACUGCCCGUCGCUCUC
rnacentral:rRNA from 1 species